AACGAACGCUGGCGGCAUGCCUAACACAUGCAAGUCGAACGAGACCUUCGGGUCUAGUGGCGCACGGGUGCGUAACGCGUGGGAACCUGCCCUUAGGUUCGGAAUAACUCCCCGAAAGGGGUGCUAAUACCGGAUAAUGUCUUCGGACCAAAGAUUUAUCGCCUUUGGAUGGGCCCGCGUUGGAUUCGCUAGUUGGUAGGGUAAAAGCCUACCAAGGCGACGAUCCAUAGCUGGUCUGAGAGGAUGAUCAGCCACACUGGGAAUGAGACACGGCCCAGACUCCUACGGGAGGCAGCAGUGGGGAAUAUUGGACGAGGGGCGAAAGCCUGAUCCAGCAAUGCCGCGUGAGUGAUGAAGGCCUUAGGGUUGUAAAGCUCUUUUACCCGGGAUGAUAAUGACAGUACCGGGAGAAUAAGCUCCGGCUAACUCCGUG
rnacentral:rRNA from 1 species